AGAGAGAGAGAGGUCUCUCUUCCGAGAAGGAACGAUCCCUUUUUUAGGGUUAGUCUGGUACAUAAUACCUUUGAAUAAAGUUGAUGCCUCUAGUGUCAUGUCCCUUUCUGAUAGAACAUUGAUACUUUUAUGCAAGUGUGUCAGGCAGUACAUUAAUGAUAGCUAUAGGACAAUAAAUAUUGAGCUGGCUGAUUCAUACCCUCUUCAUGCACGCUUAUGAUCUCUUACUGAACCAAGGAGGUGAGUAGCUCAUAGGAGAUCGAUAUCUUUACCCUGAUUUCAUCAGAUCGUGUCAAGCUCAUCCGACCUACGUAGAAAUGAGCUCCUUCCAGUUGUUGGGUCGACCAUGUUGGCGUUUAAAGUCUUAUUGCAAUACAGGUCUUUGAGGAGAUCGAUUUGUUCGUUCCAGACUUAGAUAAACUUAAGAGUGUUACUGGUCUGAUUUUUUAUACUCAAUAUGUCGAGUUUUUUUACUAUUCAAUCCGACUAGAUGAAAAAGUUUUCGAUUCAUAUAUAUACAAAUUAUGAUUUUUAGGUCAUAUUUUUUAUUCGUUAUAAAAAAUAAGGAGAAAAAAAAAAACAGAGGAAAUCUUCUUAAAAAUUGAUAACAUCUCACAUAAUUCUAGUUCUAGCAUAUCUACAAAUUAAACAAUUAAAUCAAGACAAUGACACAACGGAUAUUGGAAAGUUAAUAAAAGUCGGGAGGUAUUUUAAAGGAAGAGGAGAGAAGAUUAUUAUAUUUACUAAAAAAGUUCACGCCCAGUGCCAGAAAGUUCUCUUUGACGCAUUAAAGGUUUGUUACAGAUUUUAUUCAGGCUUCAGUUGACACUGACUUCCUUAGUUGUCAGGCUGGACCUAAAUACAAGUUAAAGCUACGAAUCUUACUUCCAAACAGCACGAUCAACAUGAAAAAGUAAUCAUUUCAGAAAACAAAGAGAUGGAAAAAGCAAAAUGCCUGCGAAAUAUACGCUGAAAUCAACACCAAGGCAAAAUUGCAAACCUAAUGCUGGUAACUCUCCAUGAUAAAUAUUCUACAGCCAUACAAAAAAAGAGAGGGAAGAAUACAUCAAACUAAACACCACAUGGAAGGGUCUUACUUCACUAACUAGCCUUGACUUUGUCUUCCCCGACGACGGAGAGUAUUGGCAAGCUGCUCAAAAAUUCGUCAAGGCCCUCAAAAAACCCAAUACCUUCAAUAUUAUCCUCCUCCCCGUUUCCAGCUCCAUGCCUUUGGCUCACUCUAGGCACUGCCUCCUCCACCUCAUUGCUAAACAUUACAUUCAAAUCCAACUUCCCCAAAUCCUUUGUUCCCUUCUUCUUCCCACUACUUCCUUCCCCCUUUCCUACCACCUCUCCUUGCACAUUACUCCCACCAACCGCAUUUUGAACAUUCACCUUCUUUGCUCUCUCAUUUUGUGGUUUCUUCACAUGUUUACUAUGUGUUGCUUUCCCUCUGGCAUUUUUUGCUUUCUUUCUUCUACCAUCCCAAUCAUCAUCAUCCGAAUCACUCAUCGUCGCUUGGGUCAGAAAUAUCUAUAAAGACAUCAUCUUUGUAAAUCACUUUCGGCUCAGAUCGCUUAGAUGGAUUACUCUGGCUUGAUUUUCCACCGCCUGGCAAAGGGGUGCUAAACAUUGCCGACACCAGUGACCAAUUAGUACUAGCACCACCUCCACAUUUACCAUGACCAUUAAAUCCCAACGGGAAAUAAGCCCAGCAACAAAAGUAGGUGUCUGUACCUUCUACCGGUGGUGAUGGUAUCAUUACCGCAUGGAACGCCCGUUUACAUUUCUGACAUCUAAUUGCACAGUCUUCAUAACCCUUGGGAUACUCAUAGAGAAUGUAACAGUAAGGACAUGCGGUCCAGAAACUCGGUAUAUCUGAUUCAGUAACACUUGUCUGGGUCGUCGACCGAGUUCCAUGUGAUGAUUCAACACUGGUAGGCUGGGCAGCUGGUCGACUAGGCUCGGAUACAUUCCGCUGGGGAGCUGGGCGACUGGGCACCGCUGCUUUUGGCUCGCUUGCUUUCCUAGUUGACUCUCUUGCUGUCCUAAUUGGCUCAGUUGCCACAGGCUGCGGUGAAGGACGAAUAGGCUCAGUUGCUUUUGCUUGUGGUACAGCCUGAGGCACAGGAUGAUUCAGCUCGGUGAUUCUAUGCUGAGGUAUUGGCCGAAUCGGCUCAGGCAUUCUCGGUUGAGUUUCUUGGCGAGUUGACUGAGUUGGCUCUUGAGCCAUGUCAUCCUCGUCCAGCACUACUCGACCAUCCCUGCUGAUUUUAUGGUUGCUCCGUACAUUUCCUUGUGAGGAUUGCCCCUGUGGAAACUCUUGAGCAGGCGGGACAAGUUGCCCCACUUGUCCCAGUUGGUCGAGUUUUCCGAGCUGACUCAUCUGCAACUCGUGAUCGUACAUUGCCUUCUUCGAGGGAUUCGAGAACACCAUCCAAGCCUCAGAAACAAGCCUAAAAGCAUGAUCCGCAAAAGAAAGCCUAUUCCUAGUAGGAUUUAAUAACAAAGCAAGCUUACGAUACUGAUUAGCUACGUGUUCCAUGGACUGAGAUAAUCUCGGGAGUUGAAGGAUUGCAUAAUAGUCAUGGCUACCACCACCAUUGUAACUAACGAUUCUCAACUCUCCGGCGAGGAUCGUGUCAGCGACGACGAUGAUUUGAUCGGAAAACUCCAUGAGCCUCGGGUCGGACUCUGUGGCUCGAAUCGCGAAGCUCUUAGCUCCCUGGAAGUCGCGUGCGGUUAGAAGCUUCUCCGCUAUAGUAAGCCACCGCUCCUCUUCUAUCCUGUAGCCGCUACCGUCCAUUUCUCUUUCCCUCUGCACUUUUUCCCUAAUUUUAUUUAUUUAUUUUUAAGGUCAAGCGAUGGAGAGAAAGGAGGACAAAAGGGAGAGGAGCUUUUUUGAGUGGACGGAAAAAGACUGUACUUUUCCGGAAAUGACGACUAUUUUCUUCCUUUGGCGUGUGUUAGAGGAGGGUGUUUCGGUCAUUUGGUAAAUCUCGUUCCGGUGAUCGGAGAUGUGCCUCGUGUUCUGAGCAGAUCAAGAAUGGUGAUUGUGAAGAAAGAUCGCAGGAGGGUAAAAUAGUCAUUUUAAAAGGGAACAGAGAGAUAACAGUACAGUACCAGUCAGGUUUUCUUUAUAUGGUUCAUUGUCUGGUCAGAACUUGGAAGAGAGUGAGAAAGGCAGUAACGGCAGGUGAGAGAUUGAAAUUUUUGUGUGGACGAAAAAGGACAGUGAAUUUGUGAAAAGAAGAAGUUAAACAGGGGUAAAAUGGUAAAUUAAUGAUAGAAUGGGUUGGCCAAAAUAAAUACAGAAUUGGAUUGAGUUAAUGGGAGCGUCGGAGAUGGGGAGUCAGAAAGUAGAGUACUUUUUGAUGGGUGAAGGACAGUGACGGUGAGGUAAUGACCUAUCGUACAAUGAGAAAUUUACUAUUAAAACGACGUCUCAGUUUAAAAAAUAUAUUAAAUUAUUUUUAAUAUUUUAAAAAAUUUAUUAAUUAAUUUUUUAUUAAUUUUUAAUAUAAAAAGUUUUAUUAUUUAAUUAUUAUAAUUAAAAAAAUUAAUAAUUAAUCUCUUAAUUUUAUAAAAAAAUUUAUUAAUUUAGUUUUGUAUUAAAAAUAUUUUAAAUUUUUUUAUAAUUUAUAAGAAUUAAAAUUAAUGGAGUGAUUAAUUAAUAAAUUUUUUAAAAAUAUUAAAAUAUUUCAAUAUAUUUUUUAAAAUAAAAAAUUAAUUAAAAAAUUUUUUUAUAAUAUAAAAAUUAAAUAAUAAUUUUUCCUUAUAAAAUAUUUCAACAUUUAUCAUUUUUUUUAAAGAUACAAAGAAUUUCAUUAAAAAGAGUUCAAAGGCUCAAAGAGUACAAUCAAAGAUACGAAAUCUUAAUUACAACACACAAGGGUCUUAAGGCCUAAAAGAAAAAAAACGACCCAUGAAAUCAAGGAACCCUAAGACCUGAAAACCCAUUGAUCCAUCACUCUAACCCGAAAGCCAAACAAAACAGUGCCACGCUCCUUCCCUAUAGACCUGGUUCUAUCUCCGAGAAAGAGAAAAUGAGCGCUCUCGCAACAACAACCUAAACCUAAUAAUACCAAUUGAAGAACGGAAGAGAGGAAUCCAAAAGGGCACUCGGCAUCCCAACUUUAAGAACUAGAGAAAACGGUGCUAACCGUAAAAGAACAUGCAACAUCGAGGGAGAGAUGAGCAAAGCAGAUCGAACACCAACGAAAGAGAAGAUGAAGCUUCUGCAAUCAUAUCCAAAUUCCACCACAGCUCGAGUCGAAACCAAGAGAGUCGCUGACAAAAGAAAUAACAAGAGAUAGGAGCACCAUCACUUACCAUCAACUCAAAAACCUUGGAUUUCCACUGUCUGGAGGUCUUAAACACAUAUGCAACAACAGAUCUGGAGGAGAAGGAGAAGGCGGUUACAAAGAGAAAGGAAGAUAUCUUGGUCGGAUUGCCAUUCCAUCUCCUCCAAAACUCAGAAGCUAGAAAAAAAGAAGAAACAAUCAUGGCAGCCGAAAGAAAACAGCCUCCUUUGCAAGCUUUACUACCAUUCCAAAAUAGACGACCAACAAUAUUUAAGGUCGCCGGGACCGUAGUAAGCCUGCUAUACUGUCUAUAUACCUCUGAAAUCCAUACAUGAUCCAACAUUACUGUCUGUAAAACUUAAAACUUUCCCUGUACCAAGGCUCAACCUGUGCAUACUCAAUCUCUGUAUUGUAAAACCCCUGCUAGAGCUCUCAUCUUUACUCUAGGCGGGUCAACUCAUAUAAUAUUAAGCCUGGUUUUUCAUACAUAUAUAAUAAAAUCAUACAGACCAUGUAUAUACAAAAGGGAGUACAACUCAUAUGGUCAAGCAUCAUCGAUACAACAUAAACUAUCUUUUACAAUUACAUGUCCACACUAGCUAUUACAUAACUCUUCUCUUUAUCUGUACCCUGCUGACCUCUCUGGACUCUGAACCUGCAAGACUGGGAUUAAGGGAGAUGGAUGAGCUAUACUAGCCCAAUGAGUAGAACAUGUAAAACAUGUGAUAAAACAUGAUCUCAUGGAAUGCAUCACAUCACAAGUAAAUCACAUCAUCUCAGAUGGACGGAUCAAAACUCCUUCGAAUCUGUGUCCGGCCCGCAAAGGAGCUCCUCAGGUCUUUACUGUACACUCAAAUAGUACCUAAGUACUCUGUGUCCGGCCCCUCUCAGAGGCUCCUCAGGACUUUACUAUGCCUGGCCCGCGAUGGGGCUCCUCAGGUCUUUACUAUGAGGGCUAAUGUAUCCAAAACUAUGUCUGAUCUAUCACAUCAUACAAUGUACAAGGAGCAGUGCCAAGUACAAGGUUCAAUGCAAUGCAUCAUAUUCGUGUACACUAAUGCAAUCAAUCGUACUAUUCAUCAUGAUGUAUGAAACAUGCUAAAAGCAUUUGAUGCCUUCUUAAACGUUUGAGUUCAGUUCCACUCACCUCUGGCUAACUCUGUACUGACUCUGCAGGUUCAGAAACAGUGCUCACUGCAGACCUCCCUGUUUCCUCUGGUCCGUUCCUACACAAGUGGACUCAAAUGAGGGACCAAACUAACUCAAGACCAACUCUAUAAAACUCCCCAAAAGCCCGCUAAGAGAUCCUAAAACAAUCACAUAAAACAUGCACAAGAAAGCUGGACAGGGCACUUUCGGCGGCAAGUUCGGCGGCCGAAACUCCCCUCCAGAGACGAAACUCAUGCAUGUUCGGCGGCACCUUCGGCAGCCGAAAGUCUCGUCCAGAGACGAAACUCAACCUUCGGCGGCACUUUCGGCGGCCAAACCUUGCCUCUAGAGACGAAAGUCCAAAUUUGCGGAGGCAAGCUUUGGCAGCCGAAACUGCCUCCACAAGGGGUUCGGCGGCCGAAGCCCGUUGGGCAGAAACCUGCUCUGCUUCAUGCAAAACUCCUCCAAUCCUUCACUCAACAUGCACACACAACUCCUCAACAAGCAUAUACACAUGUAUAUGCACAAAGGGGUCUAAAACUAUCCUAAAACCCCAACAAACAUAACAAACACCACAUAAACCCACUUAUGCACCAAAGAUCCUCAAAACUCAACUAAACCCUAUCAUGCAUACUACCCAUGAAACUUCCAUAAAACCUUCAAAAAUCAAGAAAGGAAGUUCAGGAUCUUCACUUACCUCUUCCAAACAAGAGAUUAAACGAUCCCUAUGUGGAGAUAUGGGGAAAUCCUCUCUUAAAAUCUCCAAGCUUCCAAACUUUGCUCUUUUGCUCAAAAACUUCAAAACCACACGAAAAUCCAUCAAAACCAUGAAAGAUUUGAGAAAACACAUAAAUCACUCAAGGAAGAUCAAGUCUCACCUCAGCUCGUGCACAUGGAAAGAAAAUCUUAUCAAUUUGACCGAUCUCAGGCCUUUUAUAGGUGGCUGGUCAAACCACCUUCGGCGGCCAAACGUGAAACCCGAAAGCCAUGCAAGUUCGGCGGCUGAAAGUCACCUUCGGCGGCCGAACCUUGGCUUUUCUGCCUUGGUGCUUUUCUUUCAAAAACUCUUUUCUUUAACACUUUAAAACAUUCAAAACUCGUAAAAACAACAUAUACAACAUAACCCGAACCCUUCUAGGGCAUUCCGACAUCAGAAAUCCACCGGACUACAGGAAUUCCGAUGCCAGACUCUAGCCGGGUAUUACACAUCACGAAUGCUAUAUAUAUGUAAUUAGGUUGUUUUGCAUUAGAGUUCAUGAAUACGAUGCAUUGCAUAAUUUAUUCGUAUUGUGGAUGGAUGUUGGAUGACCCACUAACCCUCGAGUAUGUUAUGAUAUGUUAUGACGGAUAUGGAAAGACCAAGGCUGCAUAUUCUACGCCUCUGGCACUAUGUAAGAGAAAGACCAGGGCUACCCAUUCUACGCCCCUGGCACUAUGGACAUGUUAUGUUAUGUUUAAGAGGAAGUCCUGAGGAGCACCCGUCGUAGGCCGGGCACUAUUGGAAUCUGUAGAGGGUUACUGGUGACAAGUCCAUUAUAAUACCCGGCUAGAGUCCGGCAUCGGAAUUCUACUUUCCGAUAGAGUUUCGGAUGCCGGAAGACUAGAAGGGUUAGAUUUAUAUUUUUCUAAAAUGUUUUGGUAUGUUUCAUAGUUUUAAAGCAUAAGGAAAUGAGUUUUUGAAUGAAAUGACCAAGGCAGAAAAGCCAGGUUCGGCCACCGAAGUUGAGGUUCGGCCACCGAACAUGCAUGGCUUUCGGUUUCACGUGUGGCCGCCGAAGGUGGUCUGGCCAGCCACCUAUAAAAGGCCCUCAGUCGGUUGAAACGAUAAGAUCACUGUUUCUUUGACCUGCUGAGGUGAGACCCUGUCCUUUUAAGAGUUUUCUUCAUGUUUUCAUUAAAUCAUGCAAAGAUUUGAUUGAUUUUUGUGUUUAUUUGAAGGUUUUGAGUUAGAAACUUGAAUUUUGAAGUUUGGAGAGUUUGAAGGAGAGUUGCUCCAAAACUCCACGUUAGGAUCGAUCAGCUUCUUGGUUUCAAGAGGUAAGUGAAGAUCCUGAGCUUGUUUUUAUGUUUUCUGAAGGUUUUAUGAGGUUAUGGGAGAGAGUUGCAUGAAUAGGGUUAUUUUUGAGGUUUUGAUAUUUUUGUGAGAAAAGCUUGUUUAUGUAUUAUGUGAUUGUGUUGUUAGGGUUUUUAGGUAGUUUAUGACCCCUUUAAGCAUAUACUUGGGUAUAUGCAAGUUGAGGGAUUGAGGUGUUUGAGAUUGGGAGAUGUUUUGUGCUUUUGGCGAGAGGCAGAGCAAGUUUCUGCCUUGCGGAUGAACUCAGGUUCGGCCACCGAAGGUACAUUCGGCCGCCGAACCCAUGAGGAGGUGGCUUCGGCUGCCCAAGCUUGCCCCCGAGCUUUUGGACUUUCGGCUCUGGAGGGGAGUUUGGCCGCCGAAGGUGCCGCCGAAGGUUAGAGACUUUCGUCUCUGGAGUGCCUUUCAGCCCCCGAAACUUGCCCCCGAAAGGGUUCGGCUGCCGAAAGUAGAGCUUCGGCCGCCGAAGGUGCAUGAGUUUCGUCUCUGGAGAGGACUUUCGGCCGCCGAACCUGCCGCCGAAAGUGUCCUGUCCAGCUUUCCUUUGCAUGCUUUGCAUGGAUGUUAGAGUGAAUUUAAGGGGAUUCUUGGGGAGUUUCUUAGAGUUGUUCAUAAGCUAGUUUGGUCCCUCAUUUGAGUCCAUCUGUAUAGGUACAGACCAGAGGAACCAGAGAGAGCAGCAGUGAGUACUGCGCCAGAGUUUUCAGAGCCUGCAAAGUUAGUCCAGAUAGCCAGAGGUGAAUGGAACUAAACUGAAUGUUUUCAAUUGAGAAAUGAAAUGCUUUUAGCAUAGUUCAUGCAUCAUAAGUAUACAGUAGGUUGUUUGCAUUAGACUCCACGAAUAUGUUGCAUUGCAUCGUUAUUUAUUGAUGUGGGUGAAUGCUGAAUGAUCCAAUAGUCUCUAAGAGAAGUCCAGGAGCCUUUGACUACGCCCUGGCAGGUAUAGUAAAGUCCAGGAGCCUUUGACUACGCCCUGGCAAUGGUAAGUACAGAGGUGUGAUAUACACAUAUACAUAUAUGACAGGAAGACCAGGUGCUCGAUUCUACACCCUGGCACGGUAGAGUUACCGGGACUAUAUGGUGACAGGUUUACCCUUGAUGUGGCUUGUCUAUGGUUUGAUGCAUUCCAUCAGAGCAUGUGUUAAUGACUUGUUUUACUGUUCUACUCACUGGGCUAUAAAGCUCAUCCCACUCUCUUAACUCCAGUUUUGCAGGUUCAGUGUACAGUGUACAGGGAAAGUCCAGCAAAGUACAGGAAGAGAGAAGAGUUUUGUAAUAGAAUAUAGUGGACAUGGAAUAUUAAAGAGAUGUAAUAGUUGUGUAUAAAGUUAGAAAUGUGCUUGACUUAGUGAUGUUUGUGUUGUAACGCUUUUGUUAUAUACAUGAUCUGUAUAUAUAUAUAUGUUUUACAGAGUAUGUGAAAAACCAGGCUUAACAGGUAUGAGUUAACCCAUCUAGAGCAAGCUCUAGUCAGGGGUACAGAGUACAGAGUACAGAGUACAGAGUACAGAGAUAGUGCAUGCACAGGUUAAGCCUUGGUUCAGAAAAGAGUUUUUAUUUUCACAGAAAAUGUAUGAUCAUGUAUGAGUUUUACAGGUACACAGAGAGUAUAGUAGGCUUGCUACGGGUUCUGGCGGCCUUAAGCCGACCUGAAUCCUAGCGCCGGUGACGGUCCAUUUUGGGGUCGUUACAGAUUGGUAUCAGAGCCCUAGGUUCACAUGAUCGGACCUAUAGAGAGAGUGUUGGGCUCAUAGAGGUUAGAGGAAGUCAAGCACAAUAGGAAAUCCAUCUUGAUGUGAAUUGUUUGUAUUGUGACGCAUUCAUACGAUCAUAUGUUUUAUUGAACUUUUUUUUAUGUUCUACUCACUAGGCUCUUAUACCUUAUCCCUUUUCUCUUUUCCCUAACCCCAGGUUUGCAAGAUCAGAGUUAGCUCGGAAAGUCGGCUGGGUUGCUGGUAUAGCCUGUUGUAAUAGUAUAGCUAUAGACAUGUAUUAAUUUGUGGAUUAGAAUUGUGUUUUGUCCAUGUUCUUCCUCGAAAUCCUUAUUUCAUGAUCCUUUUAUGUAAAAGUUUUUAAGUAUAAGUUAUACUCGAAUCAAGCUUGAGACAUGUUAUGUUGACCAUAUUAGAGCAUUUGAUGAGAGCUCUAGUAUAAAUUUUAUGUUUUCAGUUAUGAUGCAUGCAUAAGUUGAGUCUUGGUUCAUGUAAUGAUUAUGUUUUUGUUGUUCGUGUGAUCAUAUAUGUGAUUAUAUCAGGUGUAGCAGGAUGUAUAGUAGACUUACUAUGGGCUCCGAUGACCUUAAGUCGAUUUGAACUCUAGCGCCGAUAGCAGUCCGGUUUUCGGGUCGUUACAUCUAGCAUUUCUAUUGUCCCUCGCCUCUCGCUGCUCCAUGAUGAUCCUCGAUGGUGGAUGCUUGAUGCUCGUCGCUCGCCAUUGAACCUCGAUGCUUGUCGCUCGAUUUUUCUCAUGACCAUCUUAUCCUUAAUCACUUUUGGGUUGAAUGGACCCUUGAGAUAUGAAAUUUGUGGGUUGAAUGGAUUAUGGAAAGGAAAAAAGAAGAAGAAAAAAGAAUAUUAAUGAAUUUAGAUUAGAUUUUUUAGUGAGAAGAAAAGGAAGUCAGAGUAUUCUUGAAUGAAUUUAGAAGAAAAGAUGAAUGAGUAUGUGAAAUGGCGAUUUUUUUUCAUUGAUAAUGGUACUUUUAGAAUUACAUUUUAAUUUCUUUCCUUUGUUCAAGUUAAAAUAAUUGAAUUAAUAAAAUUAUUAGAUGAAGAAAUUACCAAUUUUGACAGAAUUAAAAUUUAAGGACUAAAGUAUUGAGUUCUAAAACUGUAGGGAUAAAUUCAUUAAUUAUACUAUAUCUAUAGUACUAAAAAAUAAUUUUUUCUAUUGAUAAAUUGAAGUUAAUUAACGAGUUGCAACAAGUCUGAAUUUUUAUCUAAUUAAGUUUAUGCUUAUUUCGCAUUCUUCAACCUUUGAUACCAAGAAAAUUGAUCACCAUAAAAUAUUUUCUUAAUUAAAACUAAAAUAUAGUCAUUUUUAAUGAAAAUAAUUUCAUUUUUUUAUAAAUUUUAUUAACCCGUAUAUAUAUAAAUUUAUUAAUUUUUAUUUUUUAAAUUACAACAAAAAAAUAAAAUUCGGAUGUUUUUUCCAAAAAUAUAUUUUGCACAGAAAAUAUUUUCUAUAUUUUUUAUAAAUAAAUUAUUUUUCACAAAUAAAUAAAAUCUAAACCACAUAGUUAACAAGUAACUUAAACCUUUAUAAGGUUAGUUUAAAAAUAAUAUACUACUAUUUAAAAGUAAAUAAUUUUUAUUAAAUAAAUAUAUUCACUAAUUAACUUAUAAACCUAUAAAUAAAUAAAUUCUUAAAAUUUAAAAAAUUGAAUACUAUAAACUUGAAUUUAUCCCAUUUAUUAAAUAAGUCUAAAAAUUAAAUUUAAAUUUACCUUUUAAUAAAAUAAAUUCACACCCAACUUUUAUCGAACUUCGAUUCAAAUAGUUCACGACCAUAUUAGAGUGAAAUUUUUAAUUAAUUAGCCUAACCUACCUAAAUUUACUUUUUUUUUUUUGGUAAGGAAAUGAAGAGCCAAAGCUCAAAAAAAUUAUUCUAACUUGGGGUAUCUUGAGCCAGAAAUGGCUUCAAGUCCUCGAGGGAGCAUCAAGAAAGCAGACUCCUAGAUGGUUGUCUUGUGCUCAUUUGCCCAGUCAGUAUGUUGCAGCAUUCGCUUCUGUGUAUACAUGAUUAAACUGAAUGUUUUUAAAACAUUUUUUCAACUCCUCUACCUCUUGGAAAAUUAAGUCCAAAUGCCUUGGGGUUUGCUUUUGCCACAUAAGACUUCAAUGGCUUCUAAACAGUUUAAUUCCACUACCAAAUAGUUGACAUGAGUAUGUUUGACAACUUUGAGACCUUCAGCUAUAGUUUGAAAUUUAGCACUAAGGGCAAUAUUUCUUUUGAAGUUUGCAACAAAGCCUCUAAUUCAGCAUCCCAACGAGUCCCGUAACAACUCUCCACUAGAAGCCAUUUUGUCUUGACUUCUCCAAGAGCCAUCAACAUUUAACUUGAGGAGGGGAUCGUCUGGGGGCUUCCAUUUCAGAGGAAAAGAGUGUUCCAGAGUCAGCCCAAAACGACCAUAGACCAUUGACAAAGCUUGAACAAACUCUCUAGCGCUGUGAACUGCCUUGUAGAGAAGGCUGUCAAGACUGGACAGGUUGUUAGUGAAGAAAAAAUAGUUCCUUCUAUUCCAAAGCAUUCAACAUGUUACUCCAAAUAGGAUAGACCAUAGCAUGUCAUGGCACAUAACAUCAUAUCUUUGGAUAUCUGACAAAAUUCAGUCGCUUAUGUGAAGUCUAGAGAAGAACAAACAACCUGAGUCAGGAGUGAGAAUCUUAUUCCAUAAGCACUUGGCAUCAUUACAAUCAUGCAAAAUAUGAAAUAAAGAUUCAACUUCCCUUUUACAAAUUGGACAUAGGCUACUGCUAGCUAGAUGUCUCUGUUUGCAUUCCUAGUUGGUCAGAAGCUUGUUAUGGACAAUUAGCUAAAGGAAGGUUUUGAUAUAUUGUGGACCCGACCAUUUCCACACGUAAUUCCAUCGGGUGUAUGUUCGGACGCUCUGUGAGCCUGCAAGCAAAGAGUAAGCAGACUUAAUAGAAAACAUACCUAAGGUGGACGGAAGCCAGAUAGAAUUGUCUUAAUCACUAUUUUCUGACGGUGCCAGCACCAAAGCUAAGAGAAGAAGCCUCAAGGGCAAAAUAAGAUGCUCAAAUUUAUGUCAUUUCCACCCAGUGUGUGAGCAGUAAUAGGAUUCAAUUAAUUCAGAUAUGAUACUUUCUAGGAUAGGAAUUCGAGCAUCAUUAAAAAGGCUAGAUCCAUUCAAAAGCCAGACUAUCUUGCCAAAACCUAAUGGAUUUUCUAUUUCCAAGGGACCAUCCUACACUUGCCUUAAGGUCAUCCCAAAUAGGAUAAACUCCAUUCCAGAGGUUGGAACAGUUCCUGUUAGUGAUGCAUUGGGGUAGUGGACCUUUUAGAAUUGAGUAUUUAGAUUUGAGAACUUGAGCCUAAAGAUCCUGUUUGUUGCAAACAAGACCCCCACAUAAUCUUAAACAUAAAGGCCUUAUUCAUCAAGCGUGAAUUGCGAAAUCCGAGUCCUCCUAGCUCCUAGGAUGAAUCACUUGAUCCCACAUCACUAGACUAAUUUUUUGUCUCCACCAAGAUUACCCCCAUAUAAAAUUUCUACAUAUCUUAUCAAUGUCAUCGCAUAUAGAGACCGAAAGGAAAGAGGUUUGCAUUGCAUACAUGGGAAUGGUGGACAACAUGGAUUGAGCUAAAGUGAUACAAAGGGAGAGUUUACCAAUUCCCAGUUGAAAAGUUAUUCCUUACUUUGUCAAUGAUAUAUUGAAAACUUUUCUUGGUUACUCUAUUGUGAAAAAGAGGGAUACCAAGUAUUUCCCUAAAUCAUCAGUUUCUUGAACUCUUAAUAAAGAGCAUACCUCUUUUUUUUUCCUUGAGUCCACAUUCUUAGAGAAUAAGACUCAAGUUUUGGCUUUAUUAAUAUUUUGUCUAGAAAUCUUACAGAAGUCCUCAAGCACCCUGUUUAUGAUAAAAACUUGUGAGCUUGAAGCUUCAGCAAAGAUAAUAAGGCCAUCUGCAAAAAAUAAGUUUGUUUGUUUUGGACCUCCUUUAUUAAGCUGGAUGGGCUUCCACUUACUUUGGGAUAUUGCUUGACUGAUGCUUUGCACCAACCUUUCCAUACAGAGAACAAAAAGGUAAGGAGAAAGAGGGUCCUCUUGUCUCAGUUCUCUAAAUGGUUGAAAAGACUUGGUUAACUCAAUUAUUAAUGAACUAAUGCAAUUCAUCACCACUUUAACAAAGUUAAUGGGGAGUCCUGCAUCUAACAAAGUAUCUUGAAGAAAAUUCCAGCGGAGAGCUAGAAACCCCUUUCUCCCUUUUUUAAAGUGCAUAGAGUGCAUAACUUUCUGAGUGAUAAUGAUAUUAUCUACAAUUUUCCACCCCGAGACAAAACUAGUUUGAUUAGGGCUAAUGAUAUGAGAAAGGAGUGGUUUCAAUCUGUUCACUAAGACUUUAAUAACAAUCUUUAUAAAUAACAGAACAUAGAGAUAUAAUACGAAAGUCAGCAAUAAUCUCGGGAUUAGCUUUCUUAGGAAUCAAAGAGAUUAAAGUGCUAUUAAGGAGUGUUCCAAAGGAAGUCCUAAGAGAACUUGGCCAACUACCGAGACAAUUUGAGCAUUCAAAAGAUUUCAAUAUUUUUGAAAAGAACCUUGCAUGAAACCCAUUAGGACUGGUUUCCUUCCAAGGCUUCAUGUCAAAAAGAGUUGCGUGAACUUCAUUAACAGAGACAAGAGAAUUCAAGUUACUUAGAACAGUUGGGUGAAGUUUAGGAAACAUACCUUUUACUUGAUAAGGAAUAAAAGAACAUGUGUCCUGCUGAUAGAGCCUUUGAAAGAACCAACAUGUUAAGUAUUUAAGAGCCUCCUUAUCACUUACCCAAAUGCCCAUUUCGUCUUUGAGAGAUUCCACAAAAUUUUUUUCCUUCUUACCAGAGUUUUAGUGUGAAAAAACAGGAAGUAUUCUUAUCUCCCCAUUAAAUCCAGUCAAUUCUGGAUUUUUGAAACCAAAUAAGCUAUUCUUUAUAAAAAAUGAUAUCAAGAUGUUUUUUGAGCUUAAUAUCCAAAUUAGUGUUGAGAAUCAAACAAUCACACAAUCUAAAAAUAAGCACGAAAAGAAAUUAACAUACAGUUUUAACGUGGUUCACCAAUUUGGCUACGUCCAUGGCGGCUAGGGUUUUCUUAUUUCUCUGUGAGUUUUGAAACGAAAUAUACUAGGAGAAUAUUACAUAUUUAUAAGUUUAGGAAAAAUACAAAAAGGCAAAAUAGCCCUCAGAAAAAAUUCUCCCACUUAAAGACUAAUCCAGCCAACCCAACCAUUUUCAUUCUCCAUGCCAAUGUAUCCAACAAAUACACCUAGCUGUAAAUAUCUUCCAUACUACUGUAGAAGACCAACUGAGGCCUUGCACAAUCCCAGCUUUCCAGCAUCAGCACCUUUAGUCAACAUAUCUGCUGGAUUCUUAGUACCUUCAAUUAUCUUCAAACACAUCUCACCUUCUUCCACCAGACUGCGAGUAAAAUGGUACCUACAUCGAAUGUGUUUUGUUCUGAAGUGAUACACUGGGUUCUUCACCAACUAUAUGGCACUCUGAUUAUCAGUGAAAAUAACAUUGUCAAGCUGCUUCUUGUUCAACUCUUCCAAGUAAUCAGUCAACCAUAUCAUCUCCUUACCAGUUUCAGCAAUUGUAUCAUAUUCAACCUCUGUAGAUGACAUAGAGACACACUUUUGAAGUUUAGACAUCCAACUCACUAUUGUCCCAUCUAUAGUGUAGACAUACCCAAAUGUACUUUUGCUUGUAUCCACAUCUCCGUUAAGAUCGACAUCAACAAAACCUUCUAAUACUACCUUGGCAUUCCCAUAAUAAAGUGAUAUACUAGCUAUUCCUUUCAAGUAUCUCAAAAGCCACUUCACAGCUUCCAAAUGCUCUUUUUCUGGAUCUGACAUAUAUCUGCUCACAGCUCCUAUUGCAUGUGCUAUAUCAGGUCUAGUACAAACCACAACAUACAUCUAUUAGUGUAUUUGUCCUAGACCAUAAUCUUGGACCUUUUGUAUGUCAUUUUGUUUAUUAAUAAAAGAGGUUUUAUUAUCAUUAUUAUUGGUUUGCAUGUUACAUAAUAAUGAUUGACAUCCCUGGUUACUUAUUAUUAUGAUAAAAAUAAUAAAAUAUGACUAGUAUGAUUAUUGAUUGAUAAUCAUAAGAUGAAUAUGUGUAUGUUGAUAUAAAUCAAUAAUCAUAAAUACUUGUUAGAAAAUAAUGUAUUGGAUGGACCCACAUUGAAAUCACUACAUGGGUUAUUAUUAUAAGUGAAUCUCAAAAUGCAAUACCCGGCUAGAGUCUGGCAUCAGAAUUCUACAGUCCGGUGGAAUCUCGGAUGUCGGAACUCUCUAGAAGGGUAAUAGAUAUGUUUUUCUAAAUUGUUUUUCUAAGUUUUAAUGUUUUAAGUGUAAAGAAAAUGAGUUUUUGAAAGAAAAGAUCCAAGGAAGAAAAGCCAGGUUCGGCCGCCGAACAUGCAUGACUUUGGAAUCACGUUCGGCCGCCGAAGGUGGUCUGGCCAGCCACCUAUAAAAGACCAUAGGUCAGUGAAUGGAUAAGAUUUUUCUUUCCAUUUCCACGGACAGAGGUGAGACCAUGAUCUUCCUUGGGUGAUCUUCAUGUUUUCUCCAAAUCUUUCAAAGUUUUGAUAAGUUUUCAUGUUGUUUUGAAGCUUUUGAGCUCAAAAACAAAGUUUUGAAGCUUGGAGAAUUUGAGAGAGAAUUUCUCCAUAUCUCCAUGUUAGGAUCACCUAUCCUCUCGAUCUUCAAGAGGUAAGUGUAGAUCCCUACCUUCUUUUAUGUUUUAUGAAGGUUUUAUGGAGUUUUAUGGGUAGAGAUGCAUGAAUAGGUUAAGUAGGGUUUUUGGUUGAUUGUUGGUGAAAGCAUGUUUAUGUGUUGAAUGGUGAUAUUUGAUGGGGUUUUAAGGUAGUUUUGGACCCCUUUGUGCAUGUACUUGGGUAUAUGUUUGUUGUUAAGUUGUUGGUUGCAUGUAUGAGGAAGUUGGGAGGUUGGUUGCAUGUAUGAGGAAGUUGGGAGGUUGGUUGCAUGAGGCAGAGUAGGGUUCUGCCUUACUGGAGAACCCAGUUUCGGCCGCCGAAGGAAGUUUCGGCCGCCGAACAUGCUAAGGAGGUGGUUUCGGCUGCCUAAGCUCACCCCCGAAAGUUUAGACUUUCGACUCUGGAGGGAGUUUCGGCCGCCGAAGGUUGGGGACUUUCGUCUCUGGAUAGGACUUUCAGUAGCCGAAGGUGCCGCCGAAAAUGCCUGAGUUUCGGCUCUGGAGGGACUUUCGGCCGCCGAACAUGCCGCCGAAAGUGCCCUGUCCAACCUUCUUUUGCAUGUUUUCCUUGAUUGUUUUAGGAUGUUUUAGGGGGGGGUUUUGAGGAGUUUUAUAGCGAUGUUCUUGAGUUAGUUUGGUCCCUCAUCUGAGUCCACCUGUGUAGGAACGGACCAGAGGAACCGAAGAGCUCAGCAGUGAGCAUUAUUUCAGAGUCAGUACAGAGUUAGUCAGAGGUGAGUGGAACUAAACUUAAUCUUUUUAAUUGAGAAAUCAAAUGCUUUUAGCAUGUUCAUGCAUCAUGAUUAUGCAAUAGGUUGAUUGCAUUAGAAUUCACUAAUAUGUGCAUUGCAUUAUUUCCUGUAUUUGCGGACGGACAUAGUGUUGGUUUCAUUAGCCCUCCCAGUAAAGUCCUGAGGAGCCCCAUUGAGGGCCGGGCACAGUAAAGUCCUGAAGAGCCCCGAGAGGGCCGGGCACAGAGUACUUUUGUACUAUUGAUUGUAUAAGAAAGUCCUGAGGAGCUCUUUCGUGGGCCGGGCACAGAGGGAUUUUUGAUUCAGUCCGUCCAGUAUGUGAUUACUUGUAAUGUGAUGCAUUUCAUGUGAGCAUGUUUAUUAACAUGUUUUUAUUGUUCUACUCAUUGGGCUAGUAUAGCUCACCCCUCUCCCUUAACCCCAGUAUUGCAGGAUCAGAGUUCAAGGGGAGUUCAGCAGAGUACAUGAAGAGUAAAGAGUUGGGUAAUAGCAUAGUGUGGACAUGUAAUAUUGUAAAGAGAUGUUUUAGUAUUGUAUAGAGUUUAGUAGUGUGCUUGACCCAUAUAUUUUGAUAAAUCCCUUUUUGUAUACAUGGUUUGUUUUUGUAAAUGUUUUCUUAAUGAGUAUGAAAACCAGGCUUAACAUAGUUAACCCGUCUAGAGCAAUGAUGAGAGCUCUAGUAAGGGGUUCUGUAGUACAGAGAUAGUGCAUGCACAGGUUGAGCCUUGGUACAGAGCAAAGUUUUAUGUUUUUACAGAAAAUGCAUGAUCAUGUAUGGGAUUUUACAGGUACACAGAGAGUAUAGCAGGCUUGCUACAGGUCCCGGCGACCUUAUGUCGAUCUGGAUCCUAGUGCCGGUAGCGGUCCGGUUUCCGGGUCGUUACACAAAAUAGUUAUGUUUUAAUCCUUUGAAUUGAGAUUAUCUAAUAUAAGGACUGUUAUGUUUUGACAUAACCAAACAUUAUCUUUAAUCGGAUAAUCAUAAAGGUUAUGAUUGAGUAUAAUAGAAAUUAUAUAGAGAAUAUUGGACAAUCAAGAUAGAAUUUGCCCCUCUCUUUGAGAGAGAUAUCUUCUGGACCCCUCGAUAAGUGAGACUGAGAAAUGCAUAGUCGUGCUCAAAUGAAUUGAUAAUAUAAUCAAUAUCAUUUGGUUUUAUCAGUCUACUUAGAGAUCGAGAAAGCAUAAGCUUGAAUAUUAUAAGUUCAACAUUGACCAUGACUUAUGUUCAAACUAGAUAUCGUAUGACAAAGGGAUUAAUACAUGUUAUAUUUAUUAGGCUUAAUCGGACUAUCAAUCCUCAUAUUAGUUGGGUAGUCAUAAUGUCUUGCUAGAGGUCGCUUAUGAUUUAUGGGCCUUAUUAAAAUGGACCUAUUGCCAAUUAAUGUGAGCCUAUUAUAUCACACACAAAAGAACGUCAUUGAUGUGCUAUGUCAUAUUAAUGGGCUAAGAGCCCGUUAGUAUAAUUAAUAAUAAUAUUAACAAAGAUGUUAUAUUAUUAAUAUUAAUUAUUUGUAAUUAUUAUAAGAUAAUAAUAUCUGCAGCCUAUAUGUAACGGUUACAGAUAAAAGGUCUUUUUGUUUUCUUUUGAAAAGGACUUAUCGCACAGAUAUAUUGGUAUCUGCGAUUGUGUGCUUGUUACAAUUACCACAACUCUUUUAUGAAAAGAAAAGUGUGAAAAUGAGAAGUUUUUAAGAAAAAACGAGUGAACAGAAAACAUCUUCUUUGAGAGCUUUAUAGAAAGCGUGAGGAGGAUUUUUUGAUCGUUUUCUGUGUUGCAUAUUUGGAUCAUAUAGUUAAUCUAUCAGUUCAGAGAGCUAGUACUCCAGACGAAAACUUUCGUGUGGAUACCAUUGAGGGUAUUCAUUUCAGAAGCAGCACCAUCAAUCCUACUAGGAUUUUCGAAAUCUAAAAGAUUAGUUUCUUUAUCCUUCCUUUCGAAUUAAACAAAGCGCUCAGAUCCUGAAAGGGAAAACAAAGAUCUUUUAUUUUUUCGCUGCGUAUUUUUGGGUUGCAGCGAUCUUUGGGCUUCCUUACAACAUCAAACUCCCAACUGCAAUAGUAUAAGGUACUUUUGCCAUAUGAUCACACUCCAUAGCUGUCUUGGGUGAUUGCUCCUUUGACAAUUUGAGAUGGUUAGUCAAAGGUGUGCUCCUAGGCUUAACAUCAUUAACUCUGAACCUGGACAACACCUUCUAAAUUUAUUGCUUCUGGGAUAAAUUUAGAAUUCCAGCAGACCUGUCCCGGAAAAUCCUCAUCCCUAGAAUCUGCUUUACUACACUCAAAUUUUUCAUCUCAAACUCUAAUGACAGUUUUCCUUUAAGAUUAUUGAUUCCCUCCAUACUUGACCCUGCAAUUAAUAUAUUAUCCACAUAUAAGAGUAAAAUAACAAAGAAGUCAGUAGACUUCUUAAUAUAACAACACUGAUCUUUUUCACUCCUGUGAUUCUGCACAUGAAAAAGUCAAACUUCUUAUACCACUGUCUUGGAGCCUUCUUCAACCCAUACAAACUCCUCUUGAGCUUGCACACUAUGUGUUCCCUACCAAGAACCUCAUAUCCCUGUAGUUGCUGCAUGUAGAUCCUUUCCUCCAGAUCUCCAUGUAAAAAUGUUGUUUUUACAUUCAUCUACUCAAGGUGCAAAUUUUCUGCUGCAACAAUACUCAGCAAAAUUUUGAUUGUGGUUAACUUCACAACAGGAGAGUAUAUUUCAGUGUAAUCAAUACAUUUUCUUUGUGAAUACCCCUUGAUCACCAAUCGAGUCUUGAACCUAAUUUUUCCAUCCGUUUCAUUCUUAAUCCCGUAAACCCACUUGUUCAACAAGUUUCCUUACCUGUAGGUAAGUUAAUUUCCAAGUAUCAUUCUUCUCAAGUGACUAUAUCUUAUCAUCCAUGGCUUGCUCCCACUUGAUUAAACCCUCCACCUGCAAAGCCUCAUCAAAGGAUUACGGUUCCCUCCAUCAGUCAACAACAAAUAAUACAGGAAAGGUAAAUACCUUUGUGGUGACUUGGUAGCUCUGGUAGAUCUCCUUAACACUGGUGCAAGUGUGACUGGCUGUUGUUCUAGUUCUGCAAUAGUAUUUUUGUAAUACCCGGCUAGAUUCAGACAUCGGAAUUCCUACCGUCCGGUGGAAUUCAGGGAUGUCAGAGAUUUCUAUAAGGGUAAUAGAAAUCUUUCCACAUGUUUUAAGUAUGUUUAUAGUUUUGCGGAAUUGGGUGUGAGAGAAGGAAAAGGCCAAAGGAGACAAAGAGCAAGUUCGGCCGCCGAAGGGUAAGUUCGGCCGCCGAACCUUGCAGCGUUUCGGCCCCCGAAAUUAAAGUUCGGCCGCCGAACGUUGCAUGGUUUUGCAUGCGAUUCGGCUGCCGAAGCUGAAACGGGCAGUCACCUAUAAGCACUCCUCAGUCAGUAAUUUGGACAGGUGUUGCCUCCAGAUCAUUGCCAGAGGGUUAAGCCACGUCUCCCAUGACUCAUCUGCAGAGUUGUAUCAACUUAUGCAGAGGUUUGGCUUUGUUCACCUGGUUUUGAAGGUUUGGAGUCAAAAGUGAGCUUUGAUGGUUUGGGGAAGGAGAAGAGGUGUUGGUGCAUAGUUUUGAGUUCAGGUUGUUCAGCUUCUAGUUUCAAGAGGUAAGGGAAGUUUUUAAACUUGUUUUAAUGAUUUAUGACAGCUUUUAAAGAGGUUAAGGGUAGAGUUGCAUAUAUAGGUUUGGUUUGAUAGUUUUGAUAGUUUAUGCAUGAAAGCUUGUAUAUGUGUUAUGUGUGCUGUUUGUGUUGGGGUUUUUAGGUAGUUUUGGACCCCUGUGUACAUAUACAUGAGUAUAUGUGUGUUGAGGAGUGGAGUUAUGUGUGUUUAGAGAGGUGGAAAGGAUGGAGGAGCUAGGUUGCGGGUGAAGCUGAGUUCUUGAAGAACUCAGGUUCGGCAGCCGAAGGAGCAUUCGGCCGCCGAACCCCUUGCAUGGUGGCUUUGGCUGCCACAGCUUGCCCCGAGUGUUUUUGAGGUUCGGCUCUGUUUAGGGGAUUCGGCCGCCGAAGGUGACGUCGAAGGUUAGAGACUUUCGUCUUUGGCGUGUGUUUCAGUCCCCGAACCUUGCCCCCGAAAGGGUUCGGCAGCCGAAAGUAGAGCUUCGGCCGUCGAAGGUGCCUGAGUUUCGACUCUGGAGAGGACAUUCGGCCGCCGAACCUGCACCGAAAGUGUUCUGUCCAGCCUUCCUUUGCUUGUUUUGCAUGCAUGUUUUGAGGUGUUUUAGAGGGGUUUUGGGGAGUUGUUUAUUAGUUGCAUAGAGUAUGUUUGGUGCCUCAUUUGCGUCCUCCAUUGUAGGAUUGGACCCGAGGAACCGAGGUGUUUAGCAGUAGUAACUGCGUCAGAGGUAGAGGUAGCCCAGAGUUAGCCAAGCAGAGGCUACAGGUGAGUGGAACUAAACUUGUUGUUUUAAUUCAGAAAUGACACACUUCUAGCAUGAUCCAUGCAUCAUAAAAUGCCAUGUUUUUGUAUUAGGUUGUCUUGCAUUCGAUUCACGAAUAUGACGCAUUGCAUAAGAUGAGAUUUGUAUGGAUGAAUGUUGGAUGAUCCUUAGCCCUUGAUAGAGAGCAGAGACAGAGUUAUGGCUUGUGGUAGCCAUACCAGGUCGCUCCUGGAUAGUCCAGGUCGCUCCUGGUACUAUGGGUUAGACAGACAGUCUGUCAGAUCAGAGAUCAGAGUAGUCCAGGUGAGGCCUAAUCGCCCCUGGCACAGUUGGACAUAUUAUGAUAUCUUAAGAAUAGUCCAGGUGAGGCCUAAUCGCCCCUGGCACAGUUGGACAUACUACUGUGUAUGUAGAGGGCUAUGGUGACAAGUUCAUCCUUGAGAUGAUAUGUUUGUGAUGUGAUGCAUUUCAUGAGAGCAUGUAAUUAAUGAAUUGUUUUUAUUGUUCCUCCUCACUGGGCUCUAGAGCUCAUCCCACUCCCUUGACCCCAGUUUUGCAGGUUCCGAGAUAGCUAUGGGAAGUCCCAGUCAGCAAGAGUAAAGAAAGAUAUGCAUGAAUGUAUGUUUGUACUAGCAUAGUGGACAUGAUGUAAAUAAAGAUUAGUUGUAAUGUAUAGAUAAGUACUGUCAUAUACUGGAUAGACUUGUGCUUUCCCUAGAGUCAUUGCUAUAGUGUGAUGUAUGAUUAAUCCCUUGUACAUGAAUCCUGUUUUACGUUUCUUGAUGAGAAAUGUGUGAGUUAGGCUUAAUGUAUGGCUUGGAUGAGAUACCAAUGGGAUGUGUUACAGAUUAAAAGGGUUUCAAUCCCUUGAGCCACAGCAGAUAAUAGUCCCUGGUAUAGGCCCUGAGGGCCAUUUCAGAUUGACAUAUCUGAGUAACAGUAGUUAAGCCUACAGAGUUUUACAGGUUUGUUGAGUCGUUUUGUAUCAUGUAUGGGAUUUAUCAGGUACACAGAGAGUAUAGUCGGCUUGCUACGGGUCCCGGCGGCCUUAAGCCGAUCUGGAUCCUAGUGCCAGUGAUGGUUCGAACCGUUACAGAGGGGUACCGGUUUCCGGGUCGUUACAAUUUUCUGGAUUUUCUUGUGGUCUUACUACAACAUCACUAGGUGAAAUUUUCUGCAACUCAACCUCAGCUCCCACUUCUUCUACAUCUUCAAAUUGUACUCCAGAUUUGUCCUUAUACAGGACAUUCUCAUUAAAAUUCACAUCACAGUGUCUCAAGAUCUUCCUAUUUUUGUCAUCCCAAAAUCUGUAUCCAAACUAAUCCGAACCAUAUCCAAUGAAAUAACACUUCAAAGUCUUUUCAUCAAGCUUGUCUCUCUAUUUUGGAUCAAUGUGAACAUAGACAGCACACCCAAAAGUCCACAGAUGAGUAAACUUGACCUCCUUAUCCGACCAAACUUCUUCUGGAAUCUUAAAACCCAAAGAAAUUGAAGGUCUUCUAUUUAUCAAACAUGCUGCUGUGCUCACUGCAUUUACCCAAAAUAUUUUUGGCAGUCCAACUUGUAGCCUCAUGCUUCUUGCUUGCUCAUUCAACGUUCUAUUCAUUCUUUCAGCAAUCCCAUUUUGUCUUGCCUUGCUAAAAACUAUCCUAGUGCACCUGAUUCCCUCAUCAGCACAGAACUUAUUGAAUUCUGUAGAAUCAUACUCUCCUCCAUUAUUAGACCUUAGGUAUUUGAUCUUCAACCCAGUCUGAUUUUUAACUUCAGCCUUCCAUCUCUUAAAAGUGGCAAACACAUUUGAUUUGUGUUUCAGAAAUUAAACCUAUACCCUCCUACUGAAGUUAUCAAUGAAGGUAACUUAGUAUCUCGAACCACCAAGAGAGGAAACUGGGGAUGGCCCCCACAUAUCUGUAUAUACUAGUCCUAACUGUUCUGCCUUUGGUUCUCUGAUAGCCUUUGUGAAACUAUCCCGUUUCUGCUUUUCUAGAACACAACUCUCACAUAAACCUAUAUCUACAGAUUUUAAUUCUUGCAGAUACCCUUGCGAAGCUAGUAUCUUCAUUCCCUUCUCGCUCAUGUGUCCAAGCCUGUUGUGUCACAAACUUGAAUUCGAUGUACUAUCAAUUGCAGCAACCAUAUCCGAACACCCUGGAGUAGUGUAUAAAGUUUCAGAUUUUGUGCCCCGUGCUAUCACCAUAACUCCUUUCACAAUUUUCUAGGAACUCUGCUCAAACACUAUUCUGUAACCUGUAUUGUCUAACUCGCCAGUAGAGAUCAGAUUCUUCUUCAAGUCAGGAAUAUAUCUAACAUCCUGCACCUUCCACUUACCCCCACCUGAGGUUUGGAUAUAUAUAUCCCCCUUUUCAGCAAUCUCUAAGACUUUAUUAUCAAUAAGAUACACCUUUCCAUAAUUUCCAGACUUGAAAUUAUGGAAUAACUGUCUGCUCGGAGAAGAAUGGAAUGAUGUACCCAAAUCAAGUAUCCAUGAAUAAAUCGGAUUGUCCAUAUUAAGAAUUAAAGUAUCACCAAUGUCAUAUGCAGAAUAUACAAAAUCAUCAUUUUUAUGAGACUUGUUCUUAUGGCAUUUCUUUUUCUUAAAUUUAAGGUAGUCCUUUUUAAAGUGUCCCUUUUUACCACAACCUCAACAGACAAUCUCGUUUCUGCCAUGAGAUUUCCCCCACCCCUUUGACUUCGAUCGAACAUGUUUACUAUGGCCUCCUUUCACCUUGCUCUUGCCUCUACUCUCGACACUGAGUGUGUUACCAGAUGAAUUCCUGAUUUUCUUUUUGCGAAUGCUCUUGCUCAUGACAACAUCCCGGACUUCAUCAAACUUUAACUUCUCAGACCCACGUGAACUGCUAAUUGCAGAAUUCAAUAGUAUCCCACAACUCAAGUAGAGAGGUUAAUAAAAUUAGAGUUCUUAUCUCAUCAUCAAAAUUAAUCUUGACAGAGCUUAAUUGACUGACGAUCAUAUUAAAUUCAUUAAUAUGAUACGUGAUAGAUCCACUUUCAGACAUCUCCAAAUUAAACAAACGACGCAUCAAAUACAUCUUGUUAAUGGUUGACAGUUUCUCAUACAUAUUCGCCAGAGUUGUCAAUAAUCUUGCAGUCGUUGUCUCUUUAAUGAUAUUAAAGGCAACGUUUCUUACCAACAUCAAACAGAUCAACCUUAUGCCUUCCGAUCUUUCAAAUUCCAAACUUCCUGUUUCAUAAUUUCUGGCUACUCCCCUAGCAGGGGUUCAUGGAGGUUAUUCUGAUACAGACAAUCUACAAUCUUCAAUCUGCAUCUUUCAAAAACCAAAAUCUAUUCUAUCGAACUUCUCAAUUCGAACCUUCGAGUUUUCCAUCGUCUUUUCAGAUUGUUGUGAUACGAACCAAAAGUUCUGAUACCAAUUGUUGAGAAUCGAAUAAUCACACAUUCUAAAAAAAGUAUGAAAAAAAAUUAACACAGAUUUAACGUGAUUCACCAAUUCGACUACAUCCACGGCGGCUAGAUUUUUUUAUUUAUCUGUGAGUUUUAGAACAGAAUAAACUAAGAAGAUAUUACAUAUUUAUAUGCCCAGAGAAAAUAUAAAAAGAUAAAAUAAUCUUUAAAAAAAAUUCGCCUCGAAAGCUCUACCCUCAAGCCCCCACUUUCGAGUGAGAGGCUUCCGCCCUCACAUCUCUCGGCAGUGUCAAGUUAAAUCUGCGACAGUGGAGUAUGGUGUACAGUCUAUAAUAUAUUAUUAGUCUAUAAUAUAUUAUUAGACUUCAUAUCUUAACAAUUAAAAGAUACAUGGAGAGAUUCUUUUCCAUAGCACACUCAAUUCCUUCAAUACGGGCCAAGAUACUCCUUUUCUCUUUAAAAAUGUUACCAAAAACCUCUUUGUUCCACACCUUGAGUUUAUUUUGGAGAUUCAGAAGGUUGGUGGAAAAAGAGUCAGUAGAGGACCAAGCGUCACUAACAACUCUUUUGAAAGAGUCAUUGGUCAACCACGCGGCCUGAAACCGAAAGGGUCUAGAAUCCAUGGAGGGAGGUUUGUAACUGUUAAGACGGAGAAAAAUAGGCCUAUCGUCUGAACUGAGAUUGGGCAAAUUGAACACUGUAUAUUCAGGAAAGAUAAAUCUCCAUUUGUCAUUAUUGAAAACUCUGUCUAAUCUCUCAAAAAGGUUACCCGUCUGCCAAGUAAAUUUUAGCCCUUUAAUACCCAAAUCCAUCGUGUUAUCUCGCAGAGUCCAAUUCAUAAAAUCUUUUGAAAUACUAGUUCUAGUGUGAGAACCGCCUUUCUUCUCAUCUACAAAUAGCAAAGCGUUAAAGUCUCCAGCAGCAAUCCAGGGAUCUGAAGAACUAACCUUUAAAGAGGAGAUAGCUUGUUUCACAAAAUCUUCCGAAUACUUGGUGUACAGCUUCCAUAGAUAGCUGUAAAGAAAAUGGGGGUACAGUCUCUGCUAGAGAUGCGUGAGUGAAUAAACUGCCUAUCAUUGUGAAGAACCUCCACUGUCCAACUAUCAUUCCAGAGCAUUCAAAUACCACCCGAGUGACCGUGAGCUUCCACUCUAUGGGAUCUUUCCAACCCUAUAUUCUUGAUAACUAUGUCCGUCCUUCUUCUGCUAAUGUGCGUUUCAAGGACCACGAACUCUGCUCUUUCUUGCUUAACCUGAAACUUAAGAGAACGCAAAAAGGAAAGGCUACCCGCCCCUUGGCAGUUCCAAAUAAAGAUAGCCAUGAAUAAGAAGACUAAAACUAGUAGACAACAAACUCUAAUCUGGGAGAUAGGGGUCGCAGUAGGGUUCUUCAUCAAACACACUACCCUCAGCAACAUCUUUAGAGAACACCUCUUCCUCCAUAUCCUCGUUACUAUUAAAGUGAGGGUCAUUAGUCUUGUUAUUCCUGAUCUCUUAAGAGGUGUGGCCUAUAUUCCUGUCCUGCAUACCUGAGGCAUCACAAUUAGGAAUAAGGAAAUUUGUCGUGCAAUCCAUACCUAGAUUUAGAUCUGGUGGUCUCCUUUGUUUGGCAGUCCGUCGGUCCUUUGUAGCUUGUGACUGUCUUUCCCUGUUCGACACAGAUGCAAUGUGCCCACUAUUGAGGAUGACGUCGGAGGAAAGGUUGACCACAGACUGUUUUGUUGGGUCCAGAAUUGUUCCUAUGCUAGUAUCAGCCACAACAUUAUGCAUUGGAGUCUUGCUGAGACCAUAAGAUUGGAUUGAAGGUCUGUUCUUGCUUCGAGACUGGGAAAUAGAAGUUUCUCGGUUAUUACUGUGAUUUCCUUGAUAUUCUUGCUCUUUUAUUUGUGUAAGCUCUGUCGUGUUUUGCAUGGUUGUGGGUCCUGCUAGAAUGACACCCGAAUUUGGCAUGGCUCUGAGUUCACUCCUUUGGCACCUCGAAGUGGGCAUUUGUUGCCACUUGAGGAAUUCACGUGCCGGACAUGAUUACUAGGCUUAGAUUGGCAUAUCUCCAAUCACUGGGAUAGGUUAAUUGCUUUCCUUUUUCACAGGAACCGAGAUUUCCUCUCUAAGAGCGUCAAAUUGGGAUCCUGAUUUAUUGGGUUUCUCUAGGUCAGCAUCUUUCCUAAUUUGGACUUUCCUCGCUUUCCUGACAACGACCAUCCAUUCACUGUAAUUCUCCAUAGUUGCUGGACCGACCUCAACUUCCUUAGAACUUGCAUCAUUUUUGUUUUUAUCAGUCCUGUUAAGAAAGCUACAUUCCAUACUUCGAUGACCUGUUCUUCCACAAGAAAAACAAAUUUGCGGUAAGUUUUCGUAUUCAAUCAGCUGAAUAAAAUUUUUUACCUUGACUUUAGCGACCAGAGGACGUCGAAGAUCAAUAGCAACAGUGAUGCGAGCAUAUUUUCCCCAAAUGGCCUCUGUUGUAUUAUUUUAUUAUUGUCAAUCUUAAUGAUACUUGAUCUUUUCAUUCCCCAGAUUUAUCACUAUUUUUUUAAAUGGAUAUAAAUACCUACCUGUUAAGUUUCAUUUAAUGCAUUAUUCAUCAAUUAAGAUAUUCAGAACUUUAAUGACCAAUACACAUUUUUUUCUAUAUAAUGCAUAUAGUAGCUUUUCUUGCUAAUAAUUUCUUGCUAAUAAAAUGCAUUAAAUAAAUUCUAACAAUUGUGCAUUUACACUUGUUAGGCAUCCGUUUUUCUUUCGUCAAAAAAAACUACUACUGAAUCUUCUCUUGGCACAACAUUAUCCACAGUUUGCUUUGUCUACAUAAUCAAGCCGAAAACAUGGAAUUUGAAAACAACGUUCCAAAUAUCCUCUAUAAAUGAGGAUUAGGUUUUGACAAGUGAAGAGCAAAAUGUUGAUACUUCAAUUCCAGCUACUAGAACAUAAUCUAGCUCCCUUCCCUCAAUAAUAUUCUCCUUACUUCAGUAGCUGCUGUUCGAAAGGCGACAUCCUCCACAGACAUUUUGGUUUUCCGCCAAUGUCUCAUCCAAAUUAGACUAAUGGUCAACUUGAACACUCAGAAAUUGUAGGCGAAAUAUUGGAUGGAGGGAUAGAGGUGGACAUUUUAGAAUGAAAAAAAAAAAACUAAGGCCAAGGAGAAAUAAAAAACACGGAGUUAAUGGGAAGAACUCAGGUAAGCUCAAAGAACUCCAACAAUAUUCCGACGAGAAAAAUGCGAGAGAACUUUGAGUAAGAGGAGCACAAAUGGAGAACUGCGAUCAACGCAAAAAUGUUUGGAGCUCUUGCCAACUUGCCAAAACGGAGAAAGGAACUUCAUUCACAAUUAUAAUACUUUGAAGUAAAUUUCUUCUGAAAACCAAAAAAAAAAGGAACCAUAUAACUAACAAGCAUACCUUUCCCAUCUAGAGAAAUAUCAAUCGCUUGUGUAGUUGAGCUUUUGAUCUGAAAAGAAUGCUGUCUGAAUAGGCUUCCCAAUUCUUGUCUAAUUGCAGUAUCCAAUGCUUCAAAAACCUUAUUAUUUCGAGCAUCCUCUCCUUUGUAAUAAGUUUUCUUUUUUCCUUCAGGAUUGCUUCCAUUUUUGACAGGAGAGUGAACAAUAGAUGAGUGUAAUAUAAGCACAAUAAAGAACAUCUUCAUAACCAAGGCCAUACCAAGUACCUUGAAGCAACCCAGUUGGACUAUCCGAAGCCCGUAAAAAGCAUAGAAGCAUUGGUGGGAGAGGGGAGGGGUGGGGUGGGGAUUUGGGAAGGAACAAAAAGAAUCCAGAAUUCACAAAGAGACAUGAAAAAAAGGGGAAGCUAUGCAGAAAUCCAUUCUGCAAUAACUCGAUAAAACAUUUAACACCAGGCCGUCAUAAGAAGUGAUCCCAAAAAAACCAAAACUAGUUGAAAACAUACAUAAUUAGAUUUUUGAAGGUGACAGCUUUAUAGUUUCGUCUCAUUUUGACCUACAUAAAAGUAAUGGUAAUAUAAUUUUUAAGAAACCCAUUUUUUUCAGCUGUGCUUUUAUCCUUUGAAUUCUACUAACUAGGAAACGAAGGGAGAAACAUGUGCAUUACAAUUAAAAAACAAAAGAGAAAAUAAAUUCAGAAUAGUUGUCCACCAAAUCAAGGCUAUAGAGACAACAACAGCAAAGGGCCCCAAGAUUAGCCUAGCACAAAUAUCAGUCUCCCAACGUUCAAAUCAAACAUUUUGGUAGAUUCAAUAAAAAUCACCACUUCCAAGAAUACCAAAAUGACAAGCUUCAAUUAUGUUUGUUUGAGAUAUAGUCAAUGCAGGACCAAAGUGUUGAAUUUUUAUAAAGCUGCAGGGUAAGUGAUUCAUUUUGAUAAUCCAAGGAAUCACUGCAAUACAUACAAUAACCAGCUUAAAACACAAACACAUCUCAGCAGCAAAAACACAGACAAUGUCCCUAAAACUGCUACACAAUCUUCACCAAACAUGAACCAAAAAAAGAUGGGAGAUAUUCCAGUUUAUGCACUUGCAAUUUUGUUGUUGGACACUUCGUGAAGCAUGAAUUAAACAGACGUUGAAGUAGGAGAGAGAAUAUAACUAUUCAACAAAAAAUAUAUCAUCCCAAACCAUCAAGGUAAAUCCCCACCCCUAGAUUUGAAUACUUUAGUACAUGGACCUUCAGUCUAUUACAUUAUAACCCUUUACUGUAUAGAUGCCAAAUCAUGGAGUAGAAACCUCAUAGUAACUACCCAUGAGGAGAAUCAAGCAAGGAAGCCAAUUAGCCAACAUGUAAUAUUCAGUCAAAUGAAUUUUAUGGUAAAACAAUUAAAUUAUCAUAUUAGACUGGGAAAUAAUUGCUAUUACAAUAAACAAGGGAGACAAAAAGGCUCAAACAUGCCUACAGCACUGCUAAUUGGACAUGCCAACAACAAGAAGAGGAAGAGCUCACUAUCAUGCCAACAAGAAGAAAAGGAAGAAGUCACUAUCACCCUUUUGCCAAUAAACAGAGUACAAGGCACAAGAUUACCAAAAACAAAUCAACAAAGUAAUAGUCAAGGAGGCAUGAAGAAAAAUGUGAACUCUCAAUCAUAUACGAUUCAGUGAAAAAUAUAAAACAUUUAAGUUGCUCAUAUAGUAGAUGAAAUGGAUUUGAAAAACCACAACACGAAGGCGACUUGGAGUACAUCUCUCUGGCAAACUGUGUGGACUAAUAGGUCACAACUAAUAUGUAAGAAAUUAUUUUUAAAAAAACUUAAAAUAAUGGCCCAGGUUGUUGGCAGUUGCCUUAAAGUUAAACUGCACAAUGCACAUGCUUCCUUUGGAGGUAAAUCUCAUGUUAAAAAAGCCUGUGAAGAUCAAUUUGAGAAACCCCAUAUACAAACUUUCCUAAUAAGGGUUCGACUUCAAUAAAAAAAAACAUUGAAUAGCAAAGAGAGCUCCUAGACAUGAUCAUGUCAAAGCCAAAGUGACUAAUCCACAAAUCAUAAAUAUCCUUGUGUUAUAUACUAGAAAAACAAUAGUACAAAGUACAAAGUUGCAUAAGAAAGCAGUAGAACAGCAAAGUAAGAAGCACCUUUAAGAAUGCAUGUCCAUCACAUUUGACAUAUCCAAGGAAAUGCAUCGAACAAGCCCAAUAUGUAGGUCAUGCUAGGUUAAUAGCCUAGGAUAAAAACAAACAAGAAGCAGCAGAAAUCUACAGCAGCACCAAACAUGGCACAAAAGCAUUUUUACCCAUGUUUUUCAACAAUAUCAACCUCAUUUUAUGGUAGAGCUUCAAGAAGCAACACCAAAAUGAGAAUGUUUGGUCUAUUUUAUUUCAAAAUUUUGUUGUUUAGAAAAUCCAUUGCAUUUUGGAUUAGGUUAUUUGACAGUAUUCAAUUCGGAUAACACAAAUAAAAGUUCAUCUCAAAUAACAGUACAUGUACAAACAUCUGACAUGAGAGUGAGAAAGAGAGAGAGAGAGAGAGAGAGAGCCUUUGAAUGCAAAGCCACUAUCCUGCCAGUGAUCCAAUUCUGAAGACUUGCAUUCAGCAACUAAAAUAAUUAUCCCUAAUAUGAUAAGCAAUCUCCACGACGGAAUUUUGUUAUAUUUCCAAGGACAAAAAAUUGGUUGACUUUAUUUCUUGGCGAUAACAUCCAACUGGAGAUUAAAAACUCGAUCCAAUUUUGCGCGCUCAACUACUUAGAAUUUAGAUUAAGAUACAAGGAGAUGGUUUAGGGACACUAAUUUGAUUCAAAUGUCCUAAAGCAAACUAAUUUCACAAACCUCAAUAUGACAACAUCUUUAUCUAGAAUGUGUGCACUUAGUAUACAUAUUAGAGAGGGAUAGACAUCUUGUAUUGCAUUUUAUGGAUCUAUUCAUAUAAAACAACUAUCUAUUUCAUCAUUUAAAUCUGCACUUGGUAUCUACACUCCAAUACGAAACCCGAAACAAGAGAGGAAAUCUACUUAAAAAUAGAUAUCAUCUCACAUAAUUGUCUCCAACGCCUAUAAAUUAGACACUUAGAAUCAAGUCAAUGCCACAACACAUAUUGGAAAGGUAAUAACAAUCAGGAAGUAUUUUAAAAGAAGAGAUGAAAAGCUUAUAUUUAUA
rnacentral:lncRNA from 1 species